GGCAGCUUAUAGUCUCCAUUCUAGAAACGGAUGAAAUUCUAUUAAUCUCCCCUCCACUAAUUUGAUUUGGUGUGUUCCUUUCAUGGAAGACACUAGCUCAUCAUAAAUCUGACAGGCCUUCUGCUCAUGCUGCAUUGCUUUUAUUAUUAUUGUAUUACAGGGUUUCAGUAACUCGGAUUUAGGAUUACAGACAUAACUGCCAGAAAAAUUUACAGCAGGCUGUCAUCCCCACAUUUUUAUAGCUUGGCUUGUUGCACAGUUUCUUUUAAAAAUCUUAACACUUAACCCUUGACUUCAGUUUAAAAAUACAAUUUGUGCUUUUUCUAUCUAUAAGAACU
rnacentral:lncRNA from 1 species